rnacentral:rRNA from 1 species
CAACAGCGUAUAUUUAAGUUGUUGCAGUUAAAAAGCUCGUAGUUGGAUUUCGGAUGGGAUUUGCCGGUCCGUCGUUACGAUGUGCACUGGCCAGUCCUAUCUUGUUGUCGGGGACUAGCUCCUUGGAUUCACUUCCUGGGACUAGGAGCUGACGAGGUUACUUUGAGUAAAUUAGAGUGUUCAAAGCAAGCCUACGCUCUGAAUACAUUAGCAUGGAAUAACACGAUAGGACUCUGGCUUAUCUUGUUGGUCUGUGAGACCAGAGUAAUGAUUAAGAGGGACAGUCGGGGACAUUCGUAUUUCAUUGUCAGAGGUGAAAUUCUUGGAUUUAUGAAAGACGAACUUCUGCGAAAGCAUUUGUCAAGGAUGUUUUCAUUAA